rnacentral:lncRNA from 1 species
CACAGCUACUUGUUAGUCCUGUGAGCCCCACAGCUGUGCUUUUCUUGUGUUUGCCUUUCUGACUGCGUCCCUUCCCCAAAACAGCUAAAAUUACAUCAUAUUGCUGUCUCUUUACCUGGGGAAAAUAUGUGAAGAUUCCCUGCAGCAAAAAGCUGUCAAUGUCACAACACAACACAAUCAGCCAGGGAUGGUUUCCCCUGGGACAAGAGGCAUGACAACCAACAAGUUAAAUGAGCAGCUCAAAGGGAUUUUUUUGUUGACAAAAGGUGGUAAUGCAAAUACCAGCUGGGUGGUAUUAUACAAGCACUUUCUCUAUUCCUGCAGCAAACAGAAAAGAUGAGAAUAGUCUAGCAAGAGUACUUAGAGACGAGGCCAAGACUUCUUUGAAAGGUCCCAUGAAAGAGCCCCAGCAGAGAACAGCAAACACACACCAGCUACAGCUCAGGACUAGCACAUGACUCGGAAGAAGUCAGGACUAGAAAGGUCCUCCCACUGCACAUUCUGAAUUAGCAGUAAUUAGAAAUGGCAAUCUUUAUGCUGAUGCAGUCCCCAAGCACUAGGACCAGAUGCACUGAACACUUGCAGCUCUGAGACCACCUGCCAGGGACAACGUAGAGCUAUCAUUUGCUGAACAUGGCAAGGGCACCUGCUUGAUAAGAUGCACUUCCUGCAUAACAAGUUCACUGCACCACGUUCCCUAAAGCAUUAAAUAACACCAUGAUCUUCAAAUCUACUAUUAAUUUUUCAUGCAGAUUGUCAAAUUUGUGUGUGAUUGUGCAAGUGUGAGAACGCUAUGAGUAAGUGUGAA